rnacentral:rRNA from 1 species
UAAGACAGAGGGUGCAAACGUUGUUCGGAAUUACUGGGCGUAAAGCGCAUGUAGGCGGCCAAGCAGGUCGGAUGUGAAAUCCCUCGGCUCAACCAAGGAAGUGCAUUCGAAACCGCAUGGCUCGAGUCCCGGAGAGGAAGGUGGAAUUCUCGGUGUAGAGGUGAAAUUCGUAGAUAUCGAGAGGAACACCGGUGGCGAAAGCGGCCUUCUGGACGAGGACUGACGCUGAGAUGCGAAAGCGUGGGGAGCAAACAGGAUUAGAUACCCUGGUAGUCCACGCCGUAAACGAUGGGUGCUAGGUGUCGCGGGCUUUGACCCCUGCGGUGCCGUAGCUAACGCAUUAAGCACCCCGCCUGGGAAGUACGGCCGCAAGGCUA